rnacentral:rRNA from 1 species
GUGUCAGCAGCCGCGGUAAUACGUAGGGGCCGAGCGUUGUCCGGAGUUACUGGGCGUAAAGCGCGCGCAGGCGGCUCGGUAAGCUCGGCGUGAAAGCCCCCGGCUCAACCGGGGAGGGUCGUCGGGGACUGCCGGGCUUGAGGGCGGUAGGGGCUGGUGGAAUUCCCGGUGUAGUGGUGAAAUGCGUAGAGAUCGGGAGGAACACCCGUGGCGAAGGCGGCCAGCUGGGCCGACCCUGACGCUGAGGCGCGAAGGCGUGGGGAGCGAACGGGAUUAGAUACCCCGGUAGUCC